rnacentral:piRNA from 1 species
UGAGGACCAUCGGGCAGAGAGCCAGC